rnacentral:rRNA from 1 species
GACGAACGCUGGCGGCGUGCUUAACACAUGCAAGUCGAACGAGACCCCGUCUUCGGGUGGGUGUUCUAGUGGCGAACGGGUGAGCAACACGUGGGCAACCUGCCCCCGGCUCUGGGAUAACUCCAAGAAAUUGGGGCUAAUACCGGAUAUUUCCGCUGACCGCAUGGUCUGGUGGUGGAAAGGGUUUCCGGCUGGGGAUGGGCCCGCGGCCUAUCAGCUUGUUGGUGGGGUAGUGGCCUACCAAGGCGACGACGGGUAGCCGGCCUGAGAGGGUGACCGGCCACAC